GCGUCAUUAACUCAGUGGUAGAGUAUCUGCCUUUUAAGCAGAGAGUCGCGGGUUCGAAUCCCGCAUGGCGCACCA
rnacentral:tRNA from 1 species